GACGAACGCUGGCGGCGUGCCUAACACAUGCAAGUCAACUUGACUGAAGGAGCAAUCUGACAGUAGAGUGGCGCAAGGGUGCGUAACGCGUAAGUAACUUGCCCAAGGUAAGGAAUAACGUCGAGAAAUCGGCGCUAAUACCUCAUAAUGCAGCGGAUCCGCAUGGAUAUGUUGUUAAAGGUUUACCGCCUUGGGAUAGGCUUGCGUCUGAUUAGCUAGUUGGUGUGGUAACGGCACACCAAGGCUACGAUCAGUAACUGGUCUGAGAGGAUGAUCAGUCACACUGGAACUGAGACACGGUCCAGACUCCUACGGGAGGCAGCAGUGAGGAAUAUUAGGCAAUGCUCGAAAGAGUGACCCAGCAACGCCGCGUGGAGGAUGAAGGUAUUCUAUAUCGUAAACUCCUGUGAGAGCAGACGAAGACAGAUUAUAAUCUGGAUGACUGUAUGCUCAGAG
rnacentral:rRNA from 1 species